rnacentral:misc_RNA from 1 species
AAUGCACCUUGCGCCCUUUGGUAUUCCGAGGGGCAUGCCCGUUUGAGUGUCAUGGUGUCCUCAACCUGUCCUUGGGGCAGCGUUGGACUUGGGCUUGCAGGGUCUCUGCUUGCCUUGAAUGCAUUAGCUGGUGCUGGACGGUGGUAACUCCCUUACGUCCCUCGCCCUGGCUUAUAGAGCGCUCCUUUGACCUUUUGGACCUCAAAUCGGGCAAGGCUACCCGCUGAACUUAA